rnacentral:rRNA from 1 species
ACGGAAGGCAGCAGUGGGGAAUCUUCCGCAAUGGGCGCAAGCCUGACGGAGCAACGCCGCGUGAGUGAAGAAGGUCUUCGGAUCGUAAAGCUCUGUUGAGAGGGACGAGAGAUAAUGUCAGGAAAUGGGCAUUAGAGGACGGUACCUUUCGAGGAAGCCACGGCUAACUACGUGCCAGCAGCCGCGGUAAUACGUAGGUGGCGAGCGUUGUCCGGAAUUAUUGGGCGUAAAGAGAGCGCAGGUGGGACUUCAAGUCAGUCGUAAAAGUGCGGGGCCCAACCCCGUGAUGGGAUUGAAACUGUAGUUCUUGAGUGCAGGAGAGGAAAGCGGAAUUCCUAGUGUAGCGGUGAAAUGCGUAGAUAUUAGGAGGAACACCAGUGGCGAAGGCGGCUUUCUGGACUGUAACUGACACUGAGGCUCGAAAGCGUGGGGAGCGGACAGGAUUAGAUACCCUGGUA